rnacentral:tRNA from 1 species
GCCUGGGUGGCUCAGUCGGUUAAGCGUCUGACUUUGGCUCAGGCCAUGAUCUCAUAGUUUGUGAGUUUGAGCCCCACAUCAGGCU